rnacentral:rRNA from 1 species
CGUGAGUGAGAUGUGGGUUAAGCCCGCGCGCGCCAACCCUUCCUUUAGAGCCAUCAUUCAGGGGGCACUAAGAGACUGCCCCGGUGAUAAGCGAAGGGAAGGUGGGGACGUCUCAAGUCCUUGGCCCCUAUGUCCGGGGGUACACACGUGCUACAAUGGUCAGUACACAGUGGGGAGACAGGCUAAGAGGACAAGAUCUCUAAAA